AUUUUUAAGCUGUUUCAUAACAUAAAUGAAAGAAAUGAAACCAGCGAUGUCAUUCUGAAUCAAGUCAAAGAGAAAAUAAAAAUAUUACGCAAAGAGCUGACAGAAUUGCUUGAAAUGAUGAAGCAGGAAAUUAAAAAAAAAGGAGCUUCUGGUUAUAAAAAUUUGGAUGUUUUAAACUUGUUAGCUUCAGGAGAAGAAUCUUCUGACAAAUCAGACGAAGAAGAAGACCCUAAGUUGAAGAUGAAGCCAAUAGUUGUUCUAAAAAGACUGACUGAGAAUGAUAUAGUGAACUUAAAAAAUAACAAGAAAAGAGCAAGAAAAGAAUAGCGGAUUUGGUGAAAAAUGUUUGAAGAUUUGAAUACCAUGUUUGAAGAUUUGAAUACCAUAAAACUGUAAUUGUACUAUUUCUGUAAGCUCAAUGUAAAAUCAAUAAAGCUCAAUGUUUGUAA